GACGAACGCUGGCGGCGGGCCUAAUACAUGCAAGUAGAACGCAGUUGGGAACGGGGGAGUAACGCGUAGGUAACCGCGCCAUAGCGGGGGAAAACAAAUGGAAACGAUAGGUAAUACCGCAGACUGUGAGAUGGGCCUGCGUUGGAUUAGCGAGUUGGUGAGGUAAAGGAUCACCAAGGCGACGAUACUUAGCCGACCUUAGAGGGUGAACGGCCACACCGGGACGGAGAAACGGCCCAGACUCCUACGGGGGGCCGCAGUAGGGAAACUUCGGCAAUGGACGUAAGUCUUACCGAGCAACGCCGCGUGAGUGAAGAAGGUUUUCGGGUCGUAAAGCUCUGUUGUUAGAGAAGCGGUACCUGACCAGAAAGGGACGGCUAACUACGUGCCAGCAGCCGCGGUAAUAC
rnacentral:rRNA from 1 species